AAUAGAUACCCUGGUAGUCCACGCCGUAAACGAUGAGUGCUAAGUGUUAGAGGGUUUCCGCCCUUUAGUGCUGCAGCUAACGCAUUAAGCACUCCGCCUGGGGAGUACGGUCGCAAGACUGAAACUCAAAGGAAUUGACGGGGGCCCGCACAAGCGGUGGAGCAUGUGGUUUAAUUCGAAGCAACGCGAAGAACCUUACCAGGUCUUGACAUCCUCUGACAACUCUAGAGAUAGAGCGUUCCCCUUCGGGGGACAGAGUGACAGGUGGUGCAUGGUUGUCGUCAGCUCGUGUCGUGAGAUGUUGGGUUAAGUCCCGCAACGAGCGCAACCCUUGAUCUUAGUUGCCAGCAUUAAGUUGGGCACUCUAAGGUGACUGCCGGUGACAAACCGGAGGAAGGUGGGGAUGACGUCAAAUCAUCAUGCCCCUUAUGACCUGGGCUACACACGUGCUACAAUGGAUGGUACAAAGGGCUGCAAGACCGCGAGGUCAAGCCAAAUCCCAUAAAACCAUUCUCAGUUCGGAUUGU
rnacentral:rRNA from 1 species